GGGAAUAUGCCUUAGGGUGGGGGACAACAGUUGGAAACGACUGCUAAUACCGCAUAACGUCUACGGACCAAAGGGGGCUUCGGCUCUCGCCCUUAGAUUAGCCCAAGUGGGAUUAGCUAGUUGGUGAGGUAAUGGCUCACCAAGGCGACGAUCCCUAGCUGGUUUGAGAGGAUGAUCAGCCACACUGGAACUGAGACACGGUCCAGACUCCUACGGGAGGCAGCAGUGGGGAAUAUUGCACAAUGGGCGCAAGCCUGAUGCAGCCAUGCCGCGUGUGUGAAGAAGGCCUUAGGGUUGUAAAGCACUUUCAGUAAGGAGGAAAGGUUAGUGGUUAAUACCUGCUAGCUGUGACGUUACUUACAGAAGAAGCACCGGCUAACUCCGUGCCAGCAGCCGCGGUAAUACGGAGGGUGCGAGCGUUAAUCGGAAUUACUGGGCGUAAAGCGUACGCAGGCGGUUUGUUAAGCGAGAUGUGAAAGCCCCGGGCUCAACCUGGAACUGCACUUCGAACUGGCAAACUAGAGUAUGAUAGAGGGUGGUAGAAUUUUCAGGUGUAGCGGUGAAAUGCGUAGAGAUCUGAAGGAAUACCGAAUGGCGAAGGCAGCCACCUGGGGCCAAAUACUGGACGCUCAUGUUACCAAAAGCCUUGGGG
rnacentral:rRNA from 1 species